GCACUGUUGAAGAGUCCCACAACAGGACGAAACGGCUGUCCAGUGC
rnacentral:hammerhead_ribozyme from 1 species